AGUGAACGCUGGCGGUAGGCCUAACACAUGCAAGUCGAACGGCAGCACAGUAAGAGCUUGCUCUUACGGGUGGCGAGUGGCGGACGGGUGAGGAAUACAUCGGAAUCUACUUUUUCGUGGGGGAUAACGUAGGGAAACUUACGCUAAUACCGCAUACGACCUACGGGUGAAAGCAGGGGAUCUUCGGACCUUGCGCGAUUGAAUGAGCCGAUGUCGGAUUAGCUAGUUGGCGGGGUAAAGGCCCACCAAGGCGACGAUCCGUAGCUGGUCUGAGAGGAUGAUCAGCCACACUGGAACUGAGACACGGUCCAGACUCCUACGGGAGGCAGCAGUGGGGAAUAUUGGACAAUGGGCGAAAGCCUGACCCAGCCAUACCGCGUGGGUGAAGAAGGCCUUCGGGUUGUAAAGCCCUUUUGUUGGGAAAGAAAAGCAGCAGGUUAAUACCUCGCUGUUCUGACGGUACCCAAAGAAUAAGCACCGGCUAACUUCGUG
rnacentral:rRNA from 1 species